UGGGGAAUAUUGGACAAUGGGCGCAAGCCUGAUCCAGCCAUGCCGCGUGAGUGAUGAAGGCCCUAGGGUUGUAAAGCUCUUUCGCACGCGACGAUAAUGACGGUAGCGUGAGAAGAAGCCCCGGCUAACUUCGUGCCAGCAGCCGCGGUAAUACGAAGGGGGCUAGCGUUGCUCGGAAUCACUGGGCGUAAAGGGCGCGUAGGCGGCCAUUCAAGUCAGGGGUGAAAGCCCAAGGCUCAACCUUGGAACUGCCUUUGAUACUGUUUGGCUUGAGACCGGAAGAGGUCGGCGGAACUGCGAGUGUAGAGGUGAAAUUCGUAGAUAUUCGCAAGAACACCAGUGGCGAAGGCGGCCGACUGGUCCGGUGCUGACGCUGAGGCGCGAAAGCUGGGGGAGCAAACGG
rnacentral:rRNA from 1 species